UGAUCGACUUUUGAAGGUUCCUGUAUGACAGCAAGAUUUAUUUAAGGUUUUGGCUUCUUCUAUGGAUCAGUGUUUGAAGACUGAGGAGAGAGCCCCUCCCUCCAAAACCAGUCUGUGUGAGGAACCUGAUGCUCAGAGCCCAGAGCAGAGACCGGACUCUUCUGGACCUGUACCCAGCUGUGUCUCCAUAAAGUGUGGCAAGUCUAUUAUUGAACCUUAUGACUUCAAGGAUGAACACCACUCGACUGAAAACAGGUAAUAAUAAUACAUUAUU